rnacentral:sRNA from 1 species
ACCUGUGCCUGUCCUCCCCGCAAAGUGAGAGCUCCUAAUUGGACCGUGAAACAUCCUCGCUGCCCGGAACCGCCCCCCGACCCAAAGGCCGCCGCUGCUAUUCAAAGAAUGUUGGGAACCAGAACCCAGUAAGAGUGUGUGGAGUGAGUAAACUGGCCUCAGCCCUAAGGCGCUGCUAUCUACAAAGCUUGCGUUAGUCACAAGAGGAACUUUAAACGUAUUGACGCCCGGCAUCUGUACAGACGUUCUGAUGUCCCUGGUACUGGCUGUGACCCUGCCCAGUAGUUUUUUUUUUUUUUAAGAAAAUGCAAAAGUUAAUCUAAUUGACUGCAUAGUGACCCCACUACCCUGAGGAUUAGUCAAGUCUGGUGAUUCUCUUAAGGAAGUUCCCUGGCUUUUUAAAACUAUGCCUACUUCAUCCUGAGUAACCCUGAAAAGAAAUGAGUAAUUCUCCUUACAAUACUUCCUCUUCGUCCCAGUCGGGCAUGGGGUUGUCUUGUUUACCUUAAAGAAAGCUGUAUAUUUAGCACUUGGCACAGCACCACCAGCACCUACCAGAGGCAGCCUUGUCCUCUCAUGCCUCCCUGCCCCUAGGUUACUAAGACUGCUUGGCACCCGAGUGAAUGGAUGGAUGAAUGAAUGAAUGGAUGAAUGGUCGGUCUGACCCACUACUUUGGUUAAUGGCUGGGUGAAAAACAAAAUAGGUGAGAAGGUUGCUGGCUCCUAACAGCCUGAAGCCACACCUGCUGAGAACUGGGUGGCCCUCCCCACAUUCCUUCUAGGCUUUUCUGAGGUGAGAGUAAAAGGCUUGCAUAAAUGUACAGACAACUGCACAGGCUGACCGGACGCCUCUCCCACACUGCCCACAGCUCACUUCUUGUGUGUGUACAAGCAGUGCUUGAACCAGGGCAGCCCCUGACUCUCAAGUGUCGGGACUGGCUCCAAAAUAAGUGUUCAGGCCAAGAGACAGAGAAUUUGAUUGCCCCUGGCUCCCCAGCCAAGGUCUGCAUUAAGCACUGUUUGCCUUAUCUCAGGUGUAGGGACAGUCCGUAAAAAGAAGGUCCUGGGUACCUCAUUAUUAAAAAUAUAGACAGUGCAACUUAUUUCUAGAAUAUGAUGGGAUAUAUCACGGUUAUAAUAACAUACUAAUGCCAGGAUUAUAGGAUUCCAAUAGCUUGACCCUGAAAAUAUCUUACUGGGACUGGUCAGAGGGAUCAUGGUUGAGCAUAUUAGAAACGACCACGUAAGCCGCUUCAACCCCCCACUGCUCCUAAGAUAAGUAGACUGUAGCACGCGCUGGCGGCUGAAACAGCUUCCCCCUUGUGAGGAGAUCCAGAGAGCCGUAUUCUGGUCCAGUUAGUUACUGGUUACGGGAAGAGGCUCCUCCUCCCCUUUCCCCAUAGCUCAAGGUCUGCUCACGCUCUAAUCAAACACCUUAGAUCGAUUUGACUGAGCAUGUUAUCUUCCUUCCCUGAAAACCAACGUAGUAGUCCGUCAAUGCUCAUUUGAAAAGUCACCUUCUCUGGGUGGGGCUCCCAGCCAUGACUGUCCCUUCCCUCUUUGUGGCCCCAAGUACCUACUAAUAACUGCACAUCAUCUAAAUCUAUCAAAACUUUCGAAAAGCAAACCCUUGUUUGAUUUCUUGUCCCCCUAGAAUGUGGUAUCGUAGCUCAGACAACGUCGAAAAAUCCUUCUGUUUCUCAACUAUCGUCUCGGCUAAGACCGGAGUCCUGCUGCCUCAAUACCAAUGUAAACACCCAUCUGCAGAGGGUGCCAGCUACAGUAAUCACUAUGGAACCUCCUUCUCUCUAGGGCCCUGAGAUCAAGUCCAGCUUUCUCAAUGGUCCAGACAAGGCAAGACCCACCCUUCUUUGGGGAGCACUGCCACAUCUUGCCCUCCCUCUGCUCAUGACCUGGUUUCAACUUUAAGAAACCAGAAUCCACCAGACAGGCCUUCCCAGCAUUUUCCCAGGAAAAUGGCUCCCAGUAGAAGAAAACCAAGGUUUGUGGCCAUUGGCUCUUGCCAUCUCCAUUCAACAUCUCCCUUGGUCACCGUCAAUUUCUUGUUCCGUGCCUGAUCAUUUCUGUCGUCAUGCAAACACACUGUGCACCUCUCGUUCCAAGAAAGCUGUCGCCGCAUCCUUUCACAAGGCAAUUGGGUGAGGCGGGUGUUGGAAGAGCUCUCUACACUCCGAAGAACAAUAAAGGAAGCAAAAAAGCAGGAAACUGUCUGAGGAUGUGCCUGCUAAAGGGAAAAGAUGGCGUGCACCAUGCAUGGGACACAAGAAACAAAGAAGUGCCAAGGGGAGAGCUCACUGCACUCACCCAGUGGGGCAGCCAGAGAGCCAGGACGACAUGGUAGAAAGGAAGCAAAAAGCCAGGAGGGGAAAAGGCAGAAGCUGUAAAGGCUUGAACUAGUGAGGCAGCACCUGCCUCUGAGGGUAAACACGGGUUAGGAAUGGGAGAAAGUGAGAGAUGAGAACCUACGAUCCAGAUGUCGGCCUUGGCAGCUGGGGGAAAAAUGUUUUCCACAGGACAAAUGUCAGGGGGUCUCCUACAGUUCCAGAGAGGUGAAUUUCACUUUUCAGAGCACGGUCCAUCUCAAGGGGAAGCUGGGACAACAGGGAAAACACCCUGGUCGUCUGAAUGGAAUUCCGUCUGUAAUCUUCUUGGGAAGUGCCUGGAGCGUGGGGAAUGCCCAAAUGUGCUGGUCCACAAGCUCCACUGAGAGCACAGAAGGGAACCAGAUGCUGGUGUGCCAUCACAGGAGAGGGCUCCUAAGCCGAGCGGCCUUAACCCAAAGCCUGAGAAAUAACAGGUGGGGGGGACGGCGAAUGGGAACCGGCAGGGCUUGGUAUGUGGAAACCCAGGUUGUAUGCGAUUAACUUAGUUAGUGCUUCCAACUGUCUGAUAAGGGGCAAUAGUCUUGGUUUUCCCAUUUUACAGACAAAGAGAACGGAGCUGAGAACGGUGAGAGGAGCUGAGUUUGUUGGCCCUCAGCUACGAGAACAGGGCCGAGGCUACCCCAGCGCUAUAAUACUGAGCUACCUCACCAGCAAAAUGUCCCAGGCGGAGCAAGCAACAGGCAAAAAGGACGUGGGGUUUUAUGCUGUAGAAAUCUUCCCAUGCGGUUAGGCUGCUGUGAAUCAUGUUUAUGGACGACUAAUGGCGCGGGAGUCAGCCAUGCUCUGACGAUGUCUCAGGAACCGAGGGAGGCGUUUUAUAGGAACUCUCAUCCCAUCUCCAUGUUGCAGGUGAGGAACUAGAACCUCCAGAGCCCUCGACUUGUGACUGUGACUAAUGGUCACGACAGAGCAGGACUCGACUCACUUCCGGAGAAGAGAAGGCUCCUUCAUGCUGGUUUAGUAGUGUGAGACCAACUGACUCAAUAAAGUUGACACUAUGGAGAUCUUCAUCUAAAUCUGCUCAAUUCACAACUAAACAGUUGGAGAAGGGGGCAUUAAUUAAUUACUACAGUAUAGACAGUAUUACCUUGAUUUGAAUAUUACCUGAAUUUGAACAACCCGACCAGAGUGGACGAGGGCUGGAUGGACCUCAGUAGUAACAAACUUGCCUCCCAUAUACAAGUGCCUGGGUUUGCCCCCAGCCCCACAGGAAGAUAAAAUAAGGAGAACAACCUAGAUGGGACAUACUAUUUCCUUCUGGCAUGAACUGGACCCCGAUGUGUAUGGUACAGCGAUGUGUUUUCUUUGUUCUACUUAAGAGCAUCCUUUUGAGAAAUAGGAAGGUUGUUUUCAGCCCGACUCCGGGUACGUUUGGGUACAGAAAUGUGCCCAAGAAGAGGAAGAUAUGUAUAAAUUCUUAUGUGAGUGUUAUGAUAUCACUGAUAUCCACUCCUCUUCAUCCAUUUAUACAAGAGCAGAACACACACUGGAAAAGCAGAGGCAGGAGGAUGACUGUUUGAGUCUAGCCUGGGCUACAAAAAGAGCUCCAGGCCAGCCUGGGCUACAAUGUGAAACACUGUCUCAAAAAAAAAAAAAACAAAAACAAAAACAAAAAAUAAAUGAAAGUAAAGAG